ncrna:unclassified sequences skipping-rope RNA
AGAAGCAGAGGACGGAACGGGCAGCCGUCGCCGGAGGGUCGCAAGACCCGAGUAGGAGAUGCAGGAAUCGCCACCCUGCCUAUUCU